UUUCCCCUGCGGUGUUCGCCAAGGCCAUACAUUCCUUGAACCAAUAACCAUUGGCAUCGGCCGCAGACCAAGGACGCCGCUGUUGUGAUCGCUCCUUGCGAGCGAACCUGAAGCGGCAGGAAAGUGGCCACUCUGAACCCAGGUUCAGGAUGCCGGCCAAACGGCACUCGCGGGGGAAUC
rnacentral:other from 1 species